AGGACGAACGCUGGCGGCGUGCUUAACACAUGCAAGUCGAGCGGAAAGGCCCUUCGGGGUACUCGAGCGGCGAACGGGUGAGUAACACGUGAGCAACCUGCCCCUGGCUCUGGGAUAGCCUCCGGAAACGGGGAUUAAUACCGGACAUUCACUUCCUUCCGCAUGGUUGGUGGUGGAAAGUUUUUCGGCCGGGGAGGGGCUCGCGGUCUAUCAGCUUGUUGGCGGGGUAACGGCCCACCAAGGCGACGACGGAUAGCCGGCCUGAGAGGGCGAUCGGCCACACUGGGACUGAGACACGGCCCAGACUCCUACGGGAGGCAGCAGUGGGGAAUAUUGCACAAUGGGCGCAAGCCUGAUGCAGCGACGCCGCGUGGGGGAUGAAGGCCUUCGGGUUGGUAAACCCCUUUCACCAGGAGCGAAUUCAGACGGUACCUGGGGAAGAAGCGCCGGCUAACUACGCGCCAGCAGCCGC
rnacentral:rRNA from 1 species